rnacentral:rRNA from 1 species
AGUGGGGAAUAUCGCACAAUGGAGGAAACUCUGAUGCAGCCAUGCCGCGUGUGUGAAGAAGGCUUUCGGGUUGUAAAGCACUUUCAGCGAGGAGGAAAGGGUGCAGGUUAAUACCCUGUAUCUGUGACGUUACUCGCAGAAGAAGCACCGGCUAACUCCGUGCCAGCAGCCGCGGUAAUACGGAGGGUGCGAGCGUUAAUCGGAACUACUGGGCGUAAAGCGCGCGUAGGCGGUUAAUUAAGUCAGAUGUGAAAGCCCAGGGCUCAACCUUGGAACUGCAUUUGAAACUGGUUAACUAGAGUUUUGUAGAGGGUGGUAGAAUUUCAGGUGUAGCGGUGAAAUGCGUAGAGAUCUGAAGGAAUACCAGUGGCGAAGGCGGCCACCUGGGCAAAGACUGACGCUGAGGCGCGAAGGCGUGGGGAGCGAACGGGAUUAGAUACCCCGGUAGUCCACGCAGUAAACGAUGUCUAUUAGAAGUUUGUGGCUAUAUGCCGUGGGUUUCAAAGCUAACGCAUUAAAUAGACCGCCUGNAAAGUACGGCCGCAAGGUUA